UCAGCUUUAAACUAUAAAUUAUUAUGUCUUGAUACUUGGGCUAUUACCCCCAAAAGCGGCAUUAAUAAGUUGGAUAACUCCGCCUUGUAGGAUUUUGUGCUUGUACAAGUAUUGUACUUCAGAAUCUCAUAUUUAAACAUUAUGUGUUAUUGGAUGGGCAUGUUGCUACGAAGUGUAAAACAAUCUACGUAAGAAAAUUAGUAUCAGUACUUCCAGUAUUAGGUAUAUUAUACUCUCCAUGCAGCAGGAGGGAACUGGUAGAAGAUAUUUCUUUUGAUAAUCAACAGAACACAUAAAAUAUUUUUUCUUUUUUUUUUCCAGGGCGGAAGUUCGAGUCAGCUCUAUCAAUCAGUUCAUUCACAG
rnacentral:lncRNA from 1 species